rnacentral:rRNA from 1 species
UACGUAGGGAGCGAGCGUUAUCCGGAAUUAUUGGGCGUAAAGAGUGCGUAGGCGGUCUAUUAAGUCAAAUGUGAAAGCCCACAGCUUAACUGUGGAGGGUCAUUUGAAACUGGUAGACUUGAGUAUGGUAGAGGUAAGUGGAAUUUCAUGUGUAGCGGUAAAAUGCGUAGAUAUAUGAAGGAACACCAGUGGCGAAGGCGGCUUACUGGGCCAGUACUGACGCUGAGGCACGAAAGCGUGGGGAGCAAACAGG